GGCAAAUGUUUUACAAUAGUGAAGAGAACUAAGGAGAUGUGUAUUUUUUUCUCCCCCAACCCCAUAUUUUCCUCAGAUAAACUUGUGGUGGGGCCUAUUUACAGCCCUGGUGCCAAAGUUUCAACCACAGUGAGAGACCUAAGGAUUUCAAGGAAAACUCAAAGCACCAAUAUUCAGUGAUAGAAGACUCAGAGGUUUGAUGCAGAGUUCACUCUCUGAAAAUGAACGUUCAGUAAAAGCAUGUCUGAUUUGGAGGCUUCAUAUAAACUGCCUGUGAAGUAGACGCCACUUUGCAGGAAUCCGGUCAGCUGUAACAUUCCUGAAGGAGGAGGAGGAUGGUUCAGAGAAUGCGGUUCUUCUUCGAAACAAAGAUCCACAUCAGAAUCAUGAGGCUGAAGGAGGUGCACCUGCCUUGGGGUUCUGCAGCUUAGGUUUGUCUCAGGGCAGCUGGUGCCACUGUAGGACCUGGCAGUAUCCGAGGAGUUUACAGCAGAUGGCUGGGCCUAAGGUGUACUUCACCUGAAGGACUUCUAGUAUAUUGGAUUGGUUACAAGACUGCUUUGAGGAGCACAAUCCUAUGAGAGGGAAGCAGUGUGAUAUACCAGGAAGAUCCUAAGGAAAACUACUCAGAAGUAUUGUGUUCUAAGUACAGUAGUUCGACCACUUACUGGCCUUUUCACCUGAGGGCUUUACCGAUAAUCUAAAUUUUGCUUUAUUUUCCUUAAAAUGGAGGGAAUGUUCUAUGUCAGAGAGUCUAGUACAAAAAAAAUGUGAAAAUGUGGCUUAAAGUACUUUGAUGAUUGGAAAGCAUAUAAGUAAAUGGAAGAUGGGAAAGAAGUUUGUUGUAAGCCACCUGGGGCCCCUUACAUGUGUCAAAGCUAGAUCUCCACCACGUUGCCUGAAGUGGUUGUGGACGCAGUCAAACUCAGGUUUGUUCCUCCUGCAUCCUCUACUUGCACUCCUUACAUGUCUAAACUUUAGAAAGCCCCUCAGUUCAAAUGCCAUCUUUUCCAUUAAGCCUUUUGAUCCCCUGUUCCCACCUCCUCAAUGCUGAAAUGAAUUGCUAAAAUCUCUAAACAUUUAUAAUACCAUAUCCACAUGACCACUGUCCAAUAGAAAUAUUGUGUGAGCAACAUCUGUAAUUCCAUGUUUUCUAGUAGCCACAUGGAAAAGUUAAAAAGAAAUAGG
rnacentral:lncRNA from 1 species